ensembl:lncRNA
GCUCUAUUUACACACAGCGUCUCACUAGGUGCUGUGUGGUGCCCUAAAUGCUAUUCCCAAAGAAGCAGUGGGAACUGGAGGGAGGCUGUUCUCCCUGUCCUACUGAAAGGAAUCACUCACCUUGCAGGGAGCAGAUCCAGUGGAAGGAAGAGGAAGCAGUACUACUUUUUCACCCGGAGGGUGGUGACGCACUGAACAGGUUGCCCAAGGAGGCUGUGGAUGCCCCAUCCCUGAAGGCAUUCAAGGCCAGGCUGGAUGUGGCUCUGGGCAGCCUGGGCUGCUGGUUGGCGACCCUGCACAUAGCAGGGGGUUGGAAAUGGAUGAGCAUUAUGGUCCUUUUCAACCCAAGCCAUUCUACAGUUCUAAGAUUCCCAUUUUUCCAACCACCCCUUGUCAGCUGGUUGGACCCAGGGAGUGCAAGGUAUCUGACUGUCAAGGCACAGCAGUCAGCGUGCACCCAUGGAGCAGUGGGGUCACUGUCCCCAAAGGUGUCCCAGAGCUGCACAGAUGUGGCACUGAUGGAUGUGGUCAGUGGGCAUGCUGGGUGGGUUGGUGGUUCUGUGAUCCCAUCUCCCUGCUGCAUUACAGUUUCCAUACACAGGUGCCUUGCACUCCAACAGAAGUCAUAAAAACAAAAUAUCUCAGUCUUUGUCACUGCGCAUCCAUACUGAGAAGCCCAAAACCUGACUUGAGCUCAUGAUUGUCACAACACUUCUUGGAAUGCUGUGAACAACCCCCUGAAAACCAGACUGCAGCCCUCUGCAGCUGGACACCAAAUUCAGAAUGCUUUCAAACAGGGCAGCAAUAACGUCCUUCUGAGCCAAUCUUACCCUCUGCAAAACGGGAUGCAUCAGUGCUGACUUGCAGCCUUUGGACAGAUGCUGGUACAAAAUGCACUACCAGGCAACCCACAGUCACCCACCAUAAUGAUUCCUCGUGAAUGAUUGUUUUCUACUUUAUAAAAAAAUGAAAGAAAAGCAUUAACGACUUUUUCCCAUUCAAGCCCAAUUACUCAGGAGGACCAAGCAAUAUUUCUUCUGCCAAUUAAUUUGCAGCACAUAACAGUAGCAGAACAGCAGGACUUGUCCCUCCCAGGAGCCCAUUAACAGGAAGGAGCUCUGCAUUCAUGACUAUAGGUGUCACUUGCAAGCCAGCAGCAUGGCAAAACACAGUGUUCUUUUGCAUUGGUAUAUGUAUUGAUUUUGCUUUUUCUGAUUGUUAAAAAAAAAACAUCAACAUUUCCAAGGCUGUUUGCCUCUGAAAAACACACAGAGAAAUUCAGAUCUUGCCCAGGACCAAUUUCUUACCACCUCAGCAACUGUGCUGUAUUCCAUUACAGGCAUGGGAACACCUGUUCACUCAGGGAAGACUUCGCCACCAG